rnacentral:rRNA from 1 species
AAACUAGGAUUAGAUACCCUUUUAUUUAUUAUUAAAAUUUUUUAUUUAAUAAAUAUUUUUUAAUAAAAAAAUUAAUUAAAAUGGCAGUAUAUUAUAAAAUUAGAGGAUUUUGUUAUAUAAUAGAUAUUACACUUUAAAAUUUAUUUAAUUUUUUGUUAUAUAUUGUAUAUUGUUGUAUUAAACUGAUAUUUUAAAAAUUAUUAGUAUUUUUUUUUUAAAAAAAAUAAAUUCAAAUCAACAUACAUGCCAUAAUUAAAAUUUAAAUGAAAUACAAUUAAAUCUAUUAAUGAAUAAUAAAUUGUAAAAUUUAUUUAAAAUUGGAUUUAAUAGUAAAAAUUUAAUAAAUUUUUUAUUUGAAUUAAAUUAAUAUAUGUACAUAUUGCCCGUCGUUUUUAAUU